rnacentral:rRNA from 1 species
GUAGGGGUGACCUGCGGAGGGAUCAUUACACA